CAUACGGGUAGUAGCCACCGUACUUAACGGCACAGUCUUUUGAAUAUUGGGUAGCAACUGUCACGAACCCUGGCUUUUAAAAGAAAACUGCAUUUAAUGAAGCUUCCAGUAAUUAUUCAAGAGCGGAAAAUAGUCAUUUAAGAGAGACUGCAGGAAUACAGAACACAAUGACGGGUAUCCGGACACUGAACCAAACCGUGGAAGAGAUGAGCGAGAAGAAGUUAUCAAGCAGGCCUGUUUUAAAGGCAGACAACUUUGAAUGAAAGAACAUGUACCUGCAAUAGACAGUAGGGGAGAAUAAUUUACUUCCCUGUCUGUACAGUGAAACAUCAGGGGUGAAUUUUAGCAGAGCCUGGACUACAUGGCAAGAGACAAUGAAGUAAUUUUAGACGGACGGCUCGUUGUGAAGUCCACAUGUUGAAGAAUACAAAGCAAAUUUCAAAGUAGAUUACAAGCAUAACCAUACAUGAUUGCUGACUAAAAUAAAAUGACCGUUGUCUUUUUGUUUCAUA